CCGAAAGCUUCUAGAGAAACACUUUGUAUACAUUCACUUUAUUGCAAGAUAUUUCUUAAACAAGCAGACUCAUUUUUAACGUUUGCAUAGUUCAAGCAGUUCUGUGUAGCAAUGGUUAAAUGAUAUCAAGAUGAAGGUGGUUGGAAUGGGAAAUAUUAUUGACCAAUAGUUUCAUUUUUCAUCAGCCAUAAAUGCUACCUUAUAUAUCAAAUAUCCAAAACGUACUAGUCCAAUUCGCAUUUCGUAAUGCAUCUAAUCCAAUUACUCCAAAAAUACCAAUAUUUUCAUGUUACAAGACAAUGUUCAAAACCAAUAAAUUAAAAAAAUAUAUCUCAUCAAUAUUAAUUUCUCCGCUUUAGUUGUGAAAAUGCUAAACAUUGUUGAAUUGUGUGUAAAAUUCGAUUCUGUCAGCUGACACCUAAAAGGUGACAUUAAAUAUGUCUACAUCUAAAACAAAUAAUGCACUGCCUCUUUUAGUGACAUUAAUCCAUUUCUCAUAUGACAAGAAAAAAAUAGAAAUCUUCUCUCAACACAUACCGCUGACUGACAAAACUAAUUCCCUUUUGUUGGAUUUAGAUAUCUGAUUCAGAGUCUUUUCCCUACAAAGUCCUCUUCAACGUGGGCCGUGUGGUCGGUUGAUGAAAGCAGAAGGCUGCAGACGGCCAGAGAGAAGCAGCGGGGAGGAGAAGGAAGAGCCAAAGACAUUAUUCAAGCCAUGGGUUCCCCUCGGCAUUUCAAAUAUGUGCUGAUUUUGGCAGUCUAGAGCAUCCCCCCGUCUGGGACGCCCUUGGAUCUCUUAAUCGAAGAGUUACAACAACACACCACAAAGGUCUCAGGACGCCUCGGAGGAGCACUACACCGACCCCACUGCACUGUGGUACACUUCCAUCAACUCUCCACUGCCUGACUGUCAAAGACAAUGGCUGGUAGGUUUAUAGGGGUUUGGGGGGGUUGGUUGUGUUGUAUGUAUUUUUGACUGAUGAAAUGCAUGUUCUGUGAUCAGUGUGUCAACAUAAUAUCAAUCUGAUUAAAAUCUAUUCUUUAUCAAAAUAUACAGGAAUUAUAUGGCACUACAUUAUAUGAUAUGAUAACUCUCAGAUAAAACUAUGACAUGAAGGUAUUGUAAUCUGCUGGCCUAGCCGUGCACAUAUGUCCCAAUGUGCAGACUUACAUUUCUAAGGUCACUUCUAUUUCCUCUAGCAGUGGUCACAUUUUAACAUGAAGAUUAUGAAUGUAUGUCCACAGAACUUUAACAAGUGAUGAGGGAUAUAAUUAAACUAAUUUAAAGAUAAAAAAUAAACAUGUAUUCCAGGCGCUAGACACAGUGGUUCCCAUUGAGGUGGUGGUGCUCCUUCAGGCAAAUAUAAAAAGGCUAACAAAGGUUUUGUGUAAAAGACAUUUGCUUAAAAGGGUCGGGGGUCAGGUUUAAGUUAGGCUUCAUAGUGCGUUCAAAAUAAGCUCU